rnacentral:lncRNA from 1 species
GGGUAAUUAAUCACGAACUCAUUCUAAAAAAUAGCCCAACCAUCCUCACGGUAGUUUCGUGCAAGCACGUUGCCUCCAAAAAUGUGGUGAAAGAUAUUAAAAGAUAGGGGGCCAUGCUAGAGAACCACUUGGGCAUGUUGUGCCGUUAGUCUGGUACUCAAUUUGUAGCAUCAAAUAUUUAAGGAUAAUUGACGACUUGAUCAUGAAAGCAACGAUUGUU